UAGAACGACGGUGUAGGGUUAACUG
rnacentral:piRNA from 1 species